rnacentral:rRNA from 1 species
AGAGUUUGCAACACCCGAAGUCGGUGAGGGAACCUACCCACCCCACAAAGUACUACUUUGCGGGGAACCCCGGGAAGGACCCAGCCGCCGAAGGUGGGGCAGAUGAUUGGGGUGAAGUCGUAACAAGGUAUCCCUACCGGAAGGUGGGGAUGGAUCACCUCCUUUCUACGGAG